CGACAAGCGGUGGAGCAUGUGGUUAAUUCGAAGCAGCGCGCAGAACUUACCUAGCCUUUGACAUCCUAGGACGACUUCUGGAGACAGAUUUCUUCCCUUCGGGGACCUAGUGACAGGUGCUGCAUGGCUGUCGUCAGCUCGUGUCGUGAGAUGUUGGGUUAAGUCCCGCAACGAGCGCAACCCUCGUCCUUAGUUGCCAUCAUUAAGUUGGGCACUUUAAGGAAACUGCCGGUGAUAAGCCGGAGGAAGGUGGGGAUGACGUCAAGUCCUCAUGGCCCUUACAGGCUGGGCUACACACGUGCUACAAUGGCAUUUACAGUGGGCAGCUAUUCCGCAGGGAUGCGCUAAUCUCCAAAAGAUGUCUCAGUUCGGAUUGUCCUCUGCAACUCGAGGGCAUGAAGGCGGAAUCGCUAGUAAUCGCGGAUCAGCAUGCCGCGGUGAAUACGUUCCCAGGCCUU
rnacentral:rRNA from 1 species